AGACAAUUUUUUUCAGUACGAGCAAAAGUUCUGGCUAAGCACAUUGCCGACCGUUGCCGGUGACCGAACGGGAUUGUCAUCGAGCUAUUUUGCGGAGCCGGAGCGAUGACAAUGUAUUUCAAGUGGCCAAUUGUCCAAAGGAUACCUACAUAAUGUAAUACAAUGGUUCUCAAACUGUGGUAAGCGGUAGGCAACAUAGGGGUACGCAAAAGGCCGCAUGAUAACAGUACAGAAAAUAAAUUAUUCAAUAUUCGUACAAAUGUUUCUUAAUGGAUCUAAUAUUAUAUUUUAGUAUUUUACUG